GAUGAACGCUGGCGGCGUGCCUAAUACAUGCAAGUCGAGCGAACAGAUGAGGAGCUUGCUCCUCUGACGUUAUCGGCGGACGGGUGAGUAACACGUGGAUAACCUACCUAUAAGACUGGGAUAACUUCGGGAAACCGGAGCUAAUACCGGAUAAUAUAUUGAACCGCAUGGUUCAAUAGUGAAAGACGGUUUUGCUGUCACUUAUAGAUGGAUCCGCGCCGCAUUAGCUAGUUGGUAAGGUAACGGCUUACCAAGGCGACGAUGCGUAGCCGACCUGAGAGGGUGAUCGGCCACACUGGAACGGAGACACGGUCCAGACUCCUACGGGAGGCAGCAGUAGGGAAUCUUCCGCAAUGGGCGAAAGCGUGAAGGAGCAACGCCGCGUGAGUGAUGAAGGUCUUCGGAUCGUAAAACUCUGUUAUUAGGGAAGAACAAAUGUGUAAGUAACUAUGCACGUCUUGACGGUACCUAAUCAGAAAGCCACGGCUAACUACGUG
rnacentral:rRNA from 1 species